UCCUCCUUCCGCUCUGCAUCAGGAUAGCGAGUAGUCCGGAUAGCUGGUGUUCGGGCGCUCUGACGAGCAACUAUCCUCUUCUCCCUCGGUCUUGGUCCGUGUCACUGAGCCGGGAGAGGCCGCAAAGAUGAGCGUGAACGUCUGCGUGCCCCCCGGGGAACCAGCCCGUGGACGGCGGGGACCGGGCACGGCGCGGAGGCCCGGACGUUUACAUCAUCAUUUAUUACUGGAGACCGAGGCUCGCGUAGCCCAGGCUGACUUCAGACUCUUUGUCGCGAAGGAUGCCGUGAACUAAGAGACCUUCUUCCAUCUGCCAAGGGUUGGGAUUUCAGGCGUGGGCCACGUUGCCCGUUUUACCGGAUGCUGGGGAUCGAACCCAUGAUUUCGUGCGUGCUAAAUUAACACAACUGAGACACAUCCCUAGGUCCUAGAUCUAUUAUUUAAAUUUUAAUUUUAAAAAAGUGUUUAAAUUUUUAAUUAAAAAAAAUUUUUAGGG